AUUGCCAAGCUACUAUCUGUAAAAAUGACAAGGUUGUUGAUGAGGAGACGAUAGAGGAAGAAAAGAUAGAGAUAAAGGAGAAAAAAAUAAAGAGAGAUGAGGAAAAGAUAGAGGAUAAAGAAACAAAAAGGUUAAGUGAGGGAGAGAGAGAUGAGGAGAAAGAAAAAGAAGUGGUUGAGAAAAAAGAAAAAAUAUGUGAAAAUAAAGAAGAAAAUAAGAAAAGAGAAAAAAAGAAAGUUGAGGGAGGAGAUUAAGAAAAAGAGGAAGAGAGGAAAGAAGAAAAGAUCAUAUGCAAAACCCCUUCCUCAUUCAAAAAAAUAUCAUAGGAAGGAAAAGAAAGUCAAGUGCUUUAUGGAGAUUUUCAAGAAAUUGGAGAUUAAAGUUCCUAUGUUUGAAACAUGGAAACAUGUGCUUGGUGUUCUCAACUUUUUGAAGAAAUUCAGCAGGAAGAAGAAAACGACAAGAAUAUCAAGCAAGGGGAGUGUCAACACCUACUGAUGGGUGUUUGAACUCAACCGGUUCAAGCUAGUGACAUAAAAAGAGCGUUUACUGGGAGGCACCCUAGUGAUCCAAGAACAAUAUUUUUGUAAUUUAAUUUUUAAAUCUUGGUGAUGUAAUUAUGAACAAUUUUUAAAUUUUUGUGUAUUGGGUAUCAUCUACUGAUGGAUGCUAAAGAUUUAGGUAUCUACUGAAGGAUACCAGGAAGGUACACCUACUGAGGGGCGUUGGUAAGAAUCUUGUUCCCCACAAUCUUGAUCCUCUUUCCUGAUGAGGAUCCAUCCCUGCAUCAUGUACAAUUCACAAAACCACAAUAAAUCUCAUUUAGCGUUAGUAGAACACAAAAUUUCUUCCAAUGAAUGUGGAGGAAUCAACCCCAAAUAGUCGUGCUCUCACAAAACCCCAAACUUGGAUGAAAAAGUGAUGCUCAAAUGGUGGAGAAAGGGAUUUUAGAAGUGGGAUGAUAAAAGCAGUGAGAAAAGUGCUUGAAAGAGUGUUUGAAAGUGAAAAAGAGGUUGGGGAUGUUAAAGUUGACAUUUGGGCAAGCCCUAAGGGGUAUAAAAUUCAUGCAAUGGGUCAAGAAACAAAUGUUACCAAUAAGGAACGUUGGUAAACUUUGAAGAAAAUGAUUUUGAUGAUGCUCCAAGAAGAUAGACUUAAAGAAGAUAUUAUAACUUGUCUUUAAAAGUAAUUUGUAGAUCAUAAAUGUAUUAAGAAUGUGUUUAAAUAUAUAAAACUCGUAUUUUUGGUUUUGUCACGCAUUUAAUCGGUUAUCAGGAGAAAUAAUCGAUUAUCUUGAGCUUUUCUAAAAAACCAUGUUGCUCUGGAAUAAUCGAUUAUCACUUCAAAUAAUCG
rnacentral:lncRNA from 1 species